rnacentral:lncRNA from 1 species
AACCGGGUCGGUUUUUGUUUUUAAUUUGUAACCCGAUUUCAUUUGCUGGAUAGUUUACUUAAUUGAAAUCGAAAAAUUUAAAUGUAAAUUUUAAAAUUGUCCUACAUAAAAGGAAAAUUGUUAACAUUUAUUUAUAUAUGAGAACUUAAUGUACGUUUUAUAAAUAAAGGAAGGUAUGAAUUUCAUAUUUGCAAGAUCUUCAAUCGGAUUUCCACAAAACUGAAUAACAAUUAUAUUUUUUAGCCAUACAUCCAAUUUUCGUAGGAUUUUUCU